rnacentral:rRNA from 1 species
AACGAACGCUGGCGGCAGGCCUAACACAUGCAAGUCGAGCGAGACCUUCGGGUCUAGCGGCGGACGGGUGAGUAACGCGUGGGAAUAUGCCCUUUGGUACGGAAUAGCCUCGGGAAACUGAGAGUAAUACCGUAUGUGCCCUUCGGGGGAAAGAUUUAUCGCCAAAGGAUUAGCCCGCGUUGGAUUAGGUAGUUGGUGGGGUAAUGGCCUACCAAGCCUACGAUCCAUAGCUGGUUUGAGAGGAUGAUCAGCCACACUGGGACUGAGACACGGCCAAGACUCCAACAGGAGGCAGCAGUGGGGAAUCGUAGACAAUGGGGGCAACCCUGAACUAGCCAUGCCGCGUGAGUGAUGAAGGCCUUAGGGUUGUAAAGCUCUUUCAGCUGGGAAGAUAAUGACGGUACCAGCAGAAGAAGCCCCGGCUAACUCAGUGCCAGCCGCCGCCGUAA